rnacentral:rRNA from 1 species
UACGGGAGUGGCAAGCGUUAUCCGGAAUUAUUGGGCGUAAAGCGUCCGCAGGCGGUCUUGUAAGUCUGUUGUUAAAGCGUGGAGCUUAACUCCAUUUCAGCAAUGGAAACUGUAAGACUAGAGUGUGGUAGGGGCAGAGGGAAUUCCCGGUGUAGCGGUGAAAUGCGUAGAUAUCGGGAAGAACACCAGUGGCGAAGGCGCUCUGCUGGGCCAUAACUGACGCUCAUGGACGAAAGCCAGGGGAGCGAAAGGGAUUAGAUACCCCUGUAGUCCUGGCCGUAAACGAUGAACACUAGGUGUCGGGGGAAUCGACCCCCUCGGUGUCGUAGCCAACGCGUUAAGUGUUCCGCCUGGGGAGUACGCACGCAAGUGUGAAACUCAAAGGAAUUGACGGGGGCCCGCACAAGCGGUGGAGUAUGUGGUUUAAUUCGAUGCAACGCGAAGAACCUUACCAGGGUUUGACAUCCUGCGAAUCUUUUGGAAACAGAAGAGUGCCUUCGGGAACGCAGUGACAGGUGGUGCGUGGCUGUCGUCAGCUCGUGUCGUGAGAUGUUGGGUUAAGUCCCGCAACGAGCGCAACCCACGUCGUUAGUUGCCAGCAUUGAGUUGGGCACUCUAGCGAGACCGCCGGUGAUAAACCGGAGGAAGGUGUGGAUGACGUCAAGUCAUCAUGCCCCUUACAUCCUGGGCUACACACGUACUACAAUGCUACGGACAAAGGGCAGCAAACUCGCGAGAGCUAGCAAAUCCCAUAAACCGUGGCUCAGUUCAGAUCGUAGGCUGCAACUCGCCUACGUGAAGGAGGAAUCGCUAGUAAUCGCAGGUCAGCAUACUGCGGUGAAUACGUUCCCGGGCCU